rnacentral:rRNA from 1 species
AUUGAACGCUGGCGGCAGGCUUAACACAUGCAAGUCGAGCGGAGAGAGGUAGCUUGCUACUGAUCUUAGCGGCGGACGGGUGAGUAAUGCUUAGGAAUCUGCCUAUUAGUGGGGGACAACAUUUCGAAAGGAAUGCUAAUACCGCAUACGUCCUACGGGAGAAAGCAGGGGAUCUUCGGACCUUGCGCUAAUAGAUGAGCAUAAGUCGGAUUAGCUAGUUGGUGGGUAAAGGCCUACCAAGGCGACGAUCUGUAGCGGGUCCGAGAGGAUGAUCCGCCACACUGGGACUGAGACACGGCCCAGACUCCUACGGGAGGCAGCAGUGGGGAAUAUUGGACAAUGGGCGGAAGCCUGAUCCAGCCAUGCCGCGUGUGUGAAGAAGGCCUUGUGGUUGUAAAGCACUUUAAGCGAGGAGGAGGCUACUUUAGUUAAUACCUAGAGAUAGUGGACGUUACUCGCAGAAUAAGCACCGGCUAACUCUGUGCCAGCCGCCGCAGUAAUAC